rnacentral:rRNA from 1 species
UCUGGGUAUUGAUUGGUGCUUGCAUCAUGAUUUACAUUUGAGUGAGUGGCGAACUGGUGAGUAACACGUGGGAAACCUGCCCAGAAGCGGGGGAUAACACCUGGAAACAGAUGCUAAUACCGCAUAACAACUUGGACCGCAUGGUCCGAGCUUGAAAGAUGACUUCGGCUAUCACUUUUGGAUGGUCCCGCUGCGUAUUAGCUAGUGGGUGGGGUAACGGCUCACCAUGGCAAUGAUACGUAGCCGACCUGAGAGGGUAAUCUGGCCACAUUGGGACUGAGACACGGCCCAAACUCCUACGGGAGGCAGCAGUAGGGAAUCUUCCACAAUGGACGAAAGUCUGAUGGAGCAACGCCGCGUGAGUGAAGAAGGGUUUCGGCUCGUAAAACUCUGUUGUUAUGCAUGAACAUAUCUGAGAGUAACUGUUCAGGUAUUGACGGUAUUUAACCAGAAAGCCACGGCUAACUACGUGCCAGCAGCCGCGGUAAUACGUAGGUGGCAAGCGUUGUCCGGGUUUAUUGGGCGUAAAGCGAGCGCAGGCGGUUUUUUUAAGUCUGAUGUGAAAGCCUUCGUGCUCAACCGAAAGAAGUGCAUCGGAAACUGGGAAACUUU